rnacentral:misc_RNA from 1 species
AUUUGCAUCAACAGGUGGGCUUCAACUGUACCUUUGGUUCGGCUGAUUCCUACCUGUCUGACGUUACCCAUGCCUUUUUGCGUACAAUUUGUUUUCCUAGCAGGGCAUUAUGCCCCUACAGGAUAUCAAACCACCCUUGUAUUUGCAGUCCAUGUCUGAAAACUAUAAUAAUUACAACUUUUAACAACGGAUCUCUUGGUUCU